rnacentral:rRNA from 1 species
AGAGUUUGAUCAUGGCUCAGAUUGAACGCUGGCGGCAGGCCUAACACAUGCAAGUCGAGCGGGGGUAGCAAUACCCUAGCGGCGAACGGGUGAGGAAUACUUGGGAAUCUGCCUCGUAGUGGGGGAUAACGUUCCGAAAGGAACGCUAAUACCGCAUACGUCCUACGGGAGAAAGGGGGGGAUCUUCGGACCUCUCGCUAUGAGAUGAGCCCAAGUCGGAUUAGCUAGUUGGUGAGGUAAAGGCUCACCAAGGCGACGAUCCGUAGCUGGUCUGAGAGGAUGAUCAGCCACACUGGAACUGAGACACGGUCCAGACUCCUACGGGAGGCAGCAGUGGGGAAUAUUGGACAAUGGGGGAAACCCUGAUCCAGCCAUGCCGCGUGUGUGAAGAAGGCCUUCGGGUUGUAAAGCACUUUAAGCGAGGAGGAAGGUCCGUUGGUUAAUAACCAGCGGAAUUGACGUUACUCGCAGAAUAAGCACCGGCUAACUCUGUGCCAGCAGCCGCGGUAAUACAGAGGGUGCAAGCGUUAAUCGGAAUUACUGGGCGUAAAGCGCGCGUAGGCGGUUGUGUAAGUUGGAGGUGAAAUCCCCGGGCUUAACCUGGGCACUGCCUUCAAAACUGCACGGCUAGAGUAUGGGAGAGGAAGGUAGAAUUCCAGGUGUAGCGGUGAAAUGCGUAGAGAUCUGGAGGAAUACCGAU